rnacentral:rRNA from 1 species
AGCACCUCAAGUGGUCAGGAUGAUUAUUGGGCCUAAAGCAUCCGUAGCUCGUUUUGUAAGUUUUCGGUUAAAUCCAUGCGCUUAACGUAUGGGCUGCCGGGAAUACUGCAUAACUAGGAAGUGGGAGAGGUAGACGGUACUCGGUAGGAAGGGGUAAAAUCCUUUGAUCUAUUGAUGACCACCUGUGGCGAAGGCGGUCUACCAGAACACGUUCGACGGUGAGGGACGAAAGCUGGGGGAGCAAACC